rnacentral:rRNA from 1 species
UACAGAGGUCUCAAGCGUUGUUCGGAUUCAUUGGGCGUAAAGGGUGUGUAGGUGGCGCGCUAAGUCGGGUGUGAAAUUUCGGAGCUUAACUCCGAAACUGCAUUCGAUACUGGCGUGCUUGGGGACUGGAGAGGAGACUGGAAUUCAUGGUGUAGCAGUGAAAUGCGUAGAGAUCAUGAGGAAGACCAGUGGCGAAGGCGGGUCUCUGGACAGUUCCUGACACUGAGACACGAAGGCCAGGGGAGCAAACAGG